rnacentral:rRNA from 1 species
AUUGAACGCUGGCGGAAUGCUUUACACAUGCAAGUCGAACGGUAGAGGGGGCAACCCCUCGAGAGUGGCGAACGGGUGAGUAAUAUAUCGGAGCGUGCCCAGUCGUGGGGGAUAACGUAGCGAAAGUUACGCUAAUACCGCAUACGAUCUAAGGAUGAAAGCGGGGGAUCGCAAGACCUCGCGCGAUUGGAGCGGCCGAUAUCAGAUUAGGUAGUUGGUGGGGUAAAGGCUCACCAAGCCAACGAUCUGUAGCUGGUCUGAGAGGACGACCAGCCACACUGGAACUGAGACACGGUCCAGACUCCUACGGGAGGCAGCAGUGGGGGAUUUUGGACAAUGGACGCAAGUCUGAUCCAGCCAUUCCGCGUGCAGGAUGAAGGCCCUCGGGUUGUAAACUGCCUUUGUACGGAACGAAAAGGUCUCUCUUAAUACGGGGGACUCAUGACGGUACCGUAAGAAUAAGCACCGGCUAACUACGUGCCAGCCGCCGCGGUAAAAC